rnacentral:rRNA from 1 species
UGGGGAAUAUUGCACAAUGGGCGCAAGCCUGUUGCAGCCAUGCCGCGUGUAUGAAGAAGGCCUUCGGGUUGUAAAGUACUUUCAGCGGGGAGGAAGGUGUUGAGGCUAAUAACCUCAGCAAUUGACGUUACCCGCAGAAGAAGCACCGGCUAACUCCGUGCCAGCAGCCGCGGUAAUACGGAGGGUGCAAGCGUUAAUCGGAAUUACUGGGCGUAAAGCGCACGCAGGCGGUCUGUCAAGUCGGAUGUGAAAUCCCCGGGCUCAACCUGGGAACUGCAUUCGAAACUGGCAGGCUAGAGUCUUGUAGAGGGGGGUAGAAUUCCAGGUGUAGCGGUGAAAUGCGUAGAGAUCUGGAGGAAUACCGGUGGCGAAGGCGGCCCCCUGGACAAAGACUGACGCUCAGGUGCGAAAGCGUGGGGAGCAAACA